rnacentral:rRNA from 1 species
UACGUAGGGGGCUAGCGUUGCUCGGAAUCACUGGGCGUAAAGCGCACGUGGGCGGAUUGUUAAGUCAGGGGUGAAAUCCUGGAGCUCAACUCCAGAACUGCCUUUGAUACUGGCGAUCUUGAGUCCGGGAGAGGUGAGUGGAACUGCGAGUGUAGAGGUGAAAUUCGUAGAUAUUCGCAAGAACACCAGUGGCGAAGGCGGCUCACUGGCCCGAUACUGACGCUGAGGUGCGAAAGCGUGGGGAGCAAACAGG